rnacentral:lncRNA from 1 species
CAAUGCUUAAUCUGUCGAUCCUUUAAUUUUGUGUCAUAUAGUGAGUGGUUUACAACUUUGAAAUGUUCAAAUUUGUGUCGGUAAAUUAGCACCCUAGGUGUGGCCUAGUGGUCAAUGAAGUAGGUUGAGAACCAUGAGGUCUCAGAUUCAAACCUCCAAGGAGGCAAAAACACCAAUUGAGUUCUUUCCAUCCAUCAGUUCAAUCCUUGAUGAACACAGUUACCUGGUACCUGUUGCUGGUGUGAGGUAGCAGCUAUCUCGUGGAACUAGUCGAAAGUGCAUGCAAGCUCGUCCGGACAACACGGCUUAAAAACGAAUUGUGUGUAUAAAUUAGGGUGAAGCUUUGUUGUUGUAGCAUCAAGGUCUUGGCUGUAUGGGGUAUCCUGGGACUUCACUUUUCUCUCUGUGAGUUGUCCCAAAUGAGCUGUAUACAAAUAAUGAAGUAGCUUCAUUUGGUCUGUAUCUCUCUUGCCCUUCAGAAUCGUGCACCCUUACAUGUCGGGCCCGUGCUUAGCAAGGACAACCAAAAUUUUGUAUAUAUGUCUCCUAUGUUUGCUUUUCCUUAAAUGGCCUAGCAUCAUAUUGGAAACACUUGAACUGAAGGGGCUUUUCGCUUCUUUUAAAAAAUACACCUGAUCCUCAUUCUCCUUUUAUUUCCCUUCUUCUUCAUAGAAACACUUGAACUGAAGGGGCUUUUCGCCUCUUUUAAAAAAUAAACCUGAUCCUCAUUCUCCUUUUAUUUCCCUUCUUCAUUCAGGGUGAAAAUUAAAGUGAGAACAUGGAAGUGCAAAAACUUAUUGAACAAUGCCACAUAACAAUAGCUCUCUUAAACAGAAAGACCAAGAGCUUUCCAUGGUAUUUAGAGGUUCUUUAUUUGUUUUUGAAAUUCAUGGAUGAUUUAGAUCGGCCUGCUGAACCCAAAUCAGCAGUAGUUGAGGCAAUAAAAUUUCUGGCUCAAUG